CGGGAAGCUAAAAAUAUUGAAUACAUUUUUUCGAUAGUUAAGCAAGUGCCUGUAGAUUUUGAGGAGCCCCUUUUGCCGAGAACACUGGACAAAUAAUUUAGACGCAACCAUUUGGACAGGCUGCACAUUCAAGCCAGUGAUUGACUUAAGAAGUUCGCCUGUGCUAGAAUUAGAAGCCUCUACAAUUGUCGGGAUCGAUGUCAUUUUUGCAAUAGGUUGUAGCGCCAACAAAGAGAGAAAUGCAUCGGUAUCAACUUCAUAUCGGUCAUUUUUUGUUG
rnacentral:misc_RNA from 1 species